rnacentral:lncRNA from 1 species
AGUAACAAUUUAGUUCGUCUUCUCAGUCAUUUGAUUAAGAAAUACAAGUUCAACGUGAGGAGAUUAUAUGUACUAUGUGGGAGGAUUAUAUUAAAGAGUACUACAACUCAUGUUUAAUUUCACUCUUUUAUUGAACCAAAUUUUGAUCAAUAUGUUAUAUUUUUAACAAUAACUUUGUGAUAGUGUAUUAUACUUUUGUUAUAAACUUUUGCUUAUUUGAUAAGAUCAUGUUGUAAUGACCUGAUU